rnacentral:rRNA from 1 species
GACGAACGCUGGCGGCGUGCCUAAUACAUGCAAGUAGAACGCUGAAGAGAGGAGCUUGCUCUUCUUGGAUGAGUUGCGAACGGGUGAGUAACGCGUAGGUAACCUGCCUUGUAGCGGGGGAUAACUAUUGGAAACGAUAGCUAAUACCGCAUAACAAUAGGUGACACAUGUCAUUUAUUUGAAAGGGGCAAUUGCUCCACUACAAGAUGGACCUGCGUUGUAUUAGCUAGUAGGUGAGGUAACGGCUCACCUAGGCGACGAUACAUAGCCGACCUGAGAGGGUGAUCGGCCACACUGGGACUGAGACACGGCCCAGACUCCUACGGGAGGCAGCAGUAGGGAAUCUUCGGCAAUGGGGGCAACCCUGACCGAGCAACGCCGCGUGAGUGAAGAAGGUUUUCGGAUCGUAAAGCUCUGUUGUAAGUCAAGAACGAGUGUGAGAGUGGAAAGUUCACACUGUGACGGUAGCUUACCAGAAAGGGACGGCUAACUACGUGCCAGCAGCCGCGGUAAUACGUAGGUCCCGAGCGUUGUCCGGAUUUAUUGGGCGUAAAGCGAGCGCAGGCGGUUUGAUAAGUCUGAAGUUAAAGGCUGUGGCUCAACCAUAGUUCGCUUUGGAAACUGUCAAACUUGAGUGCAGAAGGGGAGAGUGGAAUCCCAUGUGUAGCGGUGAAAUGCGUAGAUAUAUGGAGGAACACCGGUGGCGAAAGCGGCUCUCUGGUCUGUAACUGACGCUGAGGCUCGAAAGCGUGGGGAGCGAACAGGAUUAGAUACCCUGGUAGUCCACGCCGUAAACGAUGAGUGCUAGGUGUUGGAUCCUUUCCGGGAUUCAGUGCCGCAGCUAACGCAUUAAGCACUCCGCCUGGGGAGUACGACCGCAAGGUUGAAACUCAAAGGAAUUGACGGGGGCCCGCACAAGCGGUGGAGCAUGUGGUUUAAUUCGAAGCAACGCGAAGAGCCUUACCAGGUCUUGACAUCCCGAUGCUAUUUCUAGAGAUAGAAAGUUACUUCGGUACAUCGGUGACAGGUGGUGCAUGGUUGUCGUCAGCUCGUGUCGUGAGAUGUUGGGUUAAGUCCCGCAACGAGCGCAACCCCUAUUGUUAGUUGCCAUCAUUCAGUUGGGCACUCUAGCGAGACUGCCGGUAAUAAACCGGAGGAAGGUGGGGAUGACGUCAAAUCAUCAUGCCCCUUAUGACCUGGGCUACACACGUGCUACAAUGGUUGGUACAACGAGUUGCGAGUCGGUGACGGCAAGCUAAUCUCUUAAAGCCAAUCUCAGUUCGGAUUGUAGGCUGCAACUCGCCUACAUGAAGUCGGAAUCGCUAGUAAUCGCGGAUCAGCACGCCGCGGUGAAUACGUUCCCGGGCCU